rnacentral:lncRNA from 1 species
CGGUUCUCCACGAUGUCAAUACGGCCCACGCCGUGCUUGCCUGCAACUUCAUUCAGGCUUAGAGAUGGCCUGGAUCCAGAGGCCCCCUGUGAGUGCAGUCAGUGCGAGCCCUUCAACAUGCCCUAUAUGGUGUCUGCUUCAGACAACUCUCAUGCCUAUGCUGUCAGGACCGGAAUCCUCCCCACCAGCUGCAACUUCAUGGAUCUGUGCUGAAGAUACCCAUAGAUCCUGGGGUUCCCAGAGCAACAAUGCAUAAACUAGAAAGAAUCAGCUGGAAGGGAUGGAAUGUACCUUGGUUGUCUGAUCCCUUGUUUUAUUGCUAUUCCCGGUGGUGUUGGUCCACACAGGUGUGACUUCUCUUAUUGCCCAUAUCAGAACUGGAAAGAGGUAAGCUGCCCUGGAAGCCUAAACACCAUGCUACCAGCAGAAGGUAAGGAAGCGGAGUGUCUGUUCAGCAGGUCUGAAGGUGACUCUAAGCUCUGUGAAGGCAGAGCUUGCUGUACCCACAGUGCCUAGCACCAUUCCACAGGCACCCAAUAAGUGCUGUUGAGUUUCUAAAGGUGGUUUAUUGUUUCAUGGCCAAACUUGUCUCCCUUCUUCAAGGGUCUUGGCUGAGUCUCUACAUAGAAGCUCUAGUGAUCUCUGCAUUACAGCAUUCAGAGUUUUUGCCUGGACAACCAGAGAUGGUGAAGCUCUGCAGGCCUGGCUGGGUUUUAGAGUCAGGACUGGCUUUGGGAGUACAGGGAAGCCUGCAGACAGCAUCAGAGAAGCCAGAGACUAGACCCAAGCUGAUCUGAACAUCAAUCUGAAGGGCUGGGACAGAGGCAAACUCAGCAGGGAAGCCAGUUCUAGAAUUGGCUGUGGCUUUGGCAGAGACCAUCAGUACUAUUGCCUCAAUCAUCCAGCUCCCCACGACUUCCCGCAGGCCUGAGAUUGAAGCCAAGACCCAUAGGCCCAGCCCUCUAGAAAGCAGGUUUGUCAUCAUUACCGGCCCUAGGAAUUCACAAGCAGAUCCUCCCAGCUUUUCCUCUUGGUGACUUCUGAGGGCAUCACAGAUGAAGCCUUUGUGCCAGAUGGUCUCACGUUAGGCCCUGUGAAAGGAGCACUCACAGAGCCGUUGCACCUUUAAAGAAUUGCCCAUUUUCGAUACCUGGCAUAUCACUUGAAUAGAAGAAGUUUAACAGAAUUAACAGUCUGUGUCUGGAUGCAAGAUGGUUUUAACCUACAAUAUAUUUAGG